rnacentral:lncRNA from 1 species
AUGUUACCAAGCAUAUAUUUUGUUUUUCUGAUCUCUUGCUCAGCCCUAGCAAAGAGUGAAGCUCUUUCAGUUUGGUGGGAUCCAGAGAUGCCUUCACAUUCUGAAACCUUAAACAGUUUGAUGGACGGCUAUGGAAAUGACUUACCGAAAAUUCGGCCAAACAUCAUCUUUUGUUGUGUGUGCCAAGAGGCUAUAAAGCGGGCUAAGACCGCAGUCUAUCAGAAGAUGCAACAGAAGAUAAAUGAUGUCUGUAACAAAUUCAUAAAAGGAUUUUCGAAACAUCUGCCUUCAACGUGCAGAGAGAUAUCGGGACAUCAUACUGCACAAGCUCUUCCCUGGUGGGAGCCCAAGGGGAACAUGUUUUAA